AGCAGCAGCUCUGUCACCCCAGACUGACGAGCGUAUUUCCCGUCACGCCAUUUUCCAUCGGCGACCGAAAGGAACCGAACGAGCCAACCGGAGAAGCGCGGAUAUACGAGGCGGUGAAUUGACAACGAUAAAGAUCCAAGUCAUGCAUCGUGACUGUCCUCUUGACUGCAAAGUCUAUGUCGGGAAUCUGGGGAACAAUGGAAACAAGACGGAGUUGGAAAGGUCAUUUGGCUACUAUGGUCCUCUCCGCAGUGUUUGGGUCGCCAGGAACCCUCCAGGCUUCGCCUUCGUAGAAUUUGAAGAUACCAGAGAUGCAACAGAUGCAGUGCGUGAGCUUGACGGAAGGACGUUGUGUGGUUGCCGGGUUCGAGUAGAGCUGUCCAAUGGAGAGAAACGCAGUCGCACCCGUGGUGCCCCCCCUCCAUGGAGCAGGCGUCCUCGAGACAGAGAUGACAACAGGCGCCGUAGCCCACAAGCCAAACGAAGAUCCCCACGCAAGAGGAGCUUCAGCCGCAGUCGAAGCAGCACUAUGUGCUCCACACGCCAGCACGGGCAGUGAGCGGCUGUUCAGCUCUGCAUCUCACAACUUGGAUGAGAAGAGAAAUAGACUGAGCUGCAACAAGGCAGAGAUGCUCACAGUAUCUUAAGUCUAUCUCCAGAGACAGGAGGAGGGAGAAGUCUCUCUCCCGGGACAGGAACCACAAACCUUCACGGUCUUUCUCACGCUCAAGGAGCCGCUCCAGGUCUAACGACAGAAAGUAGAGGAACGUCUGUCAGGUAUAAAGGGAGCUGAAGAUGAACGGUUGUACAGGCUUGCCUGUUUCAAAAUGAUGGAAUUCAACAUGGCUGUGUGGCCAUUUUUGUGUUGGAUUUUUAAACAAUCAAGCAUUUUAGUGUCCCUCCCCUUUACGUGUUGUAAUUUUCACAGACAUUGAGUGGGUGUGUACAAGUGUGACGCCACAUCUAAGUCCAUGUUGUCGGUCCUGAAGCGUUGCGCCACCCAGCAUUCCAGUUCACAAGUUUUUGUCAAUGAAUGUACUGUGUAGUUUGACAUAGUGAGUAGUUCCAAUGCCAGCAUUUUUUUUACGUAAGGAUUGGGAUGAUUUCUAAGAGAGUCCCUCCUUUUGAUUGUCUGUAACACCAACCUGUUUUCAACGUGCUACUUCUCCUUCUUCACACUGGAGGUUUCCAUCUGUUAAUGGUUGGUUGUUUGUUAUAAACGCACUCACACAUUGAAGAUGCAAAACUAUGGCAUUCAUUUAGAAAAAAAAAAAGUGUAGUAUAAGACUGAAUUUUGUCUAUAAGGUUUUCCAUUAUUUUUCUUUUGUUUGAUACAAUGUGAAAUGGUCUCUCAAUUAAAGAUACCUGUUGAUUACAAAAGA